rnacentral:rRNA from 1 species
CCUACGGGUGGCAGCAGUGGGGAAUAUUGGACAAUGGGGGGAACCCUGAUCCAGCCAUGCCGCGUGUGUGAAGAAGGCCCUCGGGUUGUAAAGCACUUUCAGUGAGGAAGAACGCCUGGUGGUUAAUACCCAUCAGGAAAGACAUCACUCACAGAAGAAGCACCGGCUAACUCCGUGCCAGCAGCCGCGGUAAUACGGAGGGUGCGAGCGUUAAUCGGAAUUACUGGGCGUAAAGCGCGCGUAGGUGGCUUGAUAAGCCGGUUGUGAAAGCCCCGGGCUCAACCUGGGAACGGCAUCCGGAACUGUCAAGCUAGAGUGCGGGAGAGGAGGGUAGAAUUCCCGGUGUAGCGGUGAAAUGCGUAGAGAUCGGGAGGAAUACCAGUGGCGAAGGCGGCCUUCUGGACUGACACUGACACUGAGGUGCGAAAGCGUGGGUAGCAAACAGGAUUAGAUACCCGAGUAGUC